rnacentral:rRNA from 1 species
AGCUCCAAUAGCGUAUAUUAAAGUUGUUGCAGUUAAAAAGCUCGUAGUUGGAUUUCUGGUUUGAACGUUUUGUCCGGCGCUGUGCGCUGUGUACUUAAAUGAUUCGAACCAUCCUUGUAGGGAAUGUGCGUGGUCUUAAUUGAUCGUGUUCGGGAACUACAUCGUUUACUGUGAAAAAAUUAGAGUGUUUAAAGCAGGCAUUUGCUGUGAAUACAUUAGCAUGGAAUAAUAAGAUAGGACUUUGGUACUAUUUUGUUGGUUGGAGACCAAGGUAAUGAUUAAUAGGGAUAGUUGGGGGUAUUCAUAUUUAAUUGUCAGAGGUGAAAUUCUUGGAUUUAUGAAAGAUGAACUUAUGCGAAAGCAUUUACCAAGGAUGUUUUCA